CAUGAUCAUUUACAAGUUUUCUACAAUUAAUAUCUCGAUAAUUAUUGCGAAUAUCGCAAAACGGUAUAGGACUUUUAUGUUCACCUCAACCUCUUCUACGUCACCACAAAAUGCCUGGAAGAGAGUGUGAGAUACCCUGUAUAACCGGUAAAUUCUCAAGAUCAACGAAAAGAUCGGCAUAGAAUAUGAUGCGUAAAACAACAGCAAAGUCUUAUGGAAAGGAUAUUACACUGAGCACAAACUGGUUUCUGCAACAUGGCGAUAAUGAACUUUACACUGUGGAAACGAAUAUUGAUGAGAUUUUAGUAGAUUAUAAAAACGAAACGCAGAAGAGAGAAUCGUCAUUCCAUAUCCACUCUUCCAAAAUAAUUAAAAGCAUCGGAGAAAAUCUCAGAUAUAUUCAAGAGAAAUAGAAGAAACUGCGAUUGUAGAAGAUAUUCAGAUUUUCUCACAGAGCACAAUGAAGAUACUCUUUAACAUUUGCUUGAUCAUGGUGUUGACAAUUAUAGCGAUACCAAUGGGAACAUCACAACCUGCAUCGCCGCCACGUCCUGUUACUCAUGUGUCAACUUAUCCCAGGCCUACUUAUCCCAGGCCUACUUAUACCAGGCCUACUUAUCCCAGCACUGCUUAUCCCACGUAUACUACUCCCACAUAUACUUAUCCCAGCCCUACUUCUCCCAGCCCCGUUGGUACUAUCGUAGGUGUUCGUGAAAGAGCCACUACUUGUCCUACAAACUUUCGGAAAGAUACAAAUGGAAUGUGUCGUGAGAUGUAACAAUAUUACAUGCAUGUUGGUGUAAAAUACAGGUUCCAAUAAUAUUUCUAUACAACAACUGCGAAGUAAUAAACUCGAAGUAAUGGAAUAAGACAAGAAAUG